rnacentral:rRNA from 1 species
UGCUAAAGCCUUGCAGGCGGCCAGGGUAAGACGGAGGGGGUUAUCGUUAAGCGGAAUUACUGGGCGUAAAGCGUGAGCAGGCGGCUUAUUAAGACAGAUGUGAAAUCCCUAGGCUCAAGCUAGGAACUGCAUUUGAAACUAAUAAAGUAGAGUAUCGUAGAGGGAGGUAGAAGUCCAGGUGUAGCGGUGAAAUGCGUAGAUAUCUGGAGGAAUACCAGUGGCGAAGGCGACCUCCUGGACGAAAACUGACGCUCAAGCACGAAAGCAUGGGGAGCAAACAGGAUUAGAUACCCGGGUCGUC